UUGAGAUUAAAUUGGAUAGUAGUAUAAUUUAGGAGUUAGUUAUGUGAGAAAAGAAAUAAUUAGAGGUUUUGGGCUUAUGUAUGAGACAAGGAGGUCGAGAGAGAAGGGAAAUGAAAAGGGUUUGGUGAAAGUUGAAGAGAAAGAAAAGAGGAAUGCAAAUCUCGUUUUCAACACAGCAGCCUCGCAAAAACUUCGAUUCCCGAUUCGUUAACCGUUGGAUUUCCUUCAAAUUUUGAGGGUAGGUUCACAACAUCUGAGGCCAACUUUUGACUGUUCGGAUCGUUGAAACAAGGUCUGAGCAGGAAGAAAUCGAGUUCGGAUUGCACCAGAUGUGUUGGGGAGAAAAAGAGGGAAAAAAGCAAGAACAAGGUGGAGCUUCAAGAACCAUUGCCAUCCUCCAUUUUCUUUACAACCAAAGGAUUUGUAGCAGGAGCUGCAAUUGUGAUUGGUCUUCAACAGUUGAAGGGACUGUUUGGAAUCACUCGUUUUAACACCAAAACAGAGAUAAUCGCUUUCACGAAAGCUGUUUGGGAAGCAUUUCAUAACCCUAAUAACUUCUAGCAGAAAGCAAGAAGGCCUGCUUGAACUUUUGACUUGUAGCUCCAGCCUCCAGUGUUGAUGUUUGUGUACUCAAACUUUUCAAUUUUUCUUCAUAUUUUAUUGAUUUCUAUUCUUAUUCAUCUCUGUUUUGAGUUUUUGAAUUAUCUUACUUUUAGUGAAUCUUAUUUAUAGAAAUGUGUUUGUAGCUUAUUGUUCUUUGGGUGUUAAUUUUUCAUUUCAUCAUAGUAUAAUUCAUUACAGGUUAUGGAGAAGCAUUUAAUUGCGAUAUUUUCAAUAAAAGUAAUCAAUAAGUCAAGACUGCCAUUUUGAUAUGCCUGUAAUAAGGUAUGCUUAAUAACACUAGACAUUGUAUAUCCAUACACUUGUAAUUUUGACUGUUUGAUAGAGAAUUUGUAGCAUUCAGUGAAUUCAACAUUUAAAACUUAUGCAUAUGCUACAAAUUUGGAUUAUGCUUAGGUGUCACUAGUAUACUUACAUUUAUAAAAAAUGUUAUAAUUUCAUUGCUAUUGUUACUGGACAGAUGCAAAAGAAAUAUAAUUUCAGAGAAACCUUGUUCCCCCUAAGGCAGGCAUAGAGAGUUCCUCUUUUUUCCUUUUGUAAAUGUCAUUCUUUGUUAUUGUUAUCAUUGACUUAUGAUUUUUUAGAUGACAAAGUUGGUUUAGCAGAGAGUAAAAACUCCAAAGGUGAAACAUCCUCCAAAGCAACUCUGGACCUGGUACUAGUUUUCUAGCCCACUCUUCUGAUUUCUCGUUAAGUAUGAAGCUCGUCUUGAAGAUGGGACGAUUAUUUCAAAAUCUGACGAGGUCGAGUUCACUAUUGAAGAGGGUUUUCCAGGUUGUUGAGUCUCGUGUGCUUGAGUUCUUGAUGAAGCUCCGCUCUGAUUGUGACACAGGGAAGAGUUCAUAAAGUCAUUUACUCUGUCAUUUUAUUUUUAAUUUAAAAUGUUUCUUUUUAGAAAAGAAAAAUAUUUUUAUUAGUGAUGCUUAUGCUAAUUUAUUUUCAUUAGCAAUGUAUGAAGAAAAAUGUAAUACCUUAAACCAAUAUUUGCAUAAGUUAUUUUGACUCCAA